AUUGAACGCUGGCAGCAGGCCUAACACAUGCAAGUCGAACGAGUGGCGGACGGGUGAGUAAUGUCUGGGAAACUGCCCGAUGGAGGGGGAUAACUACUGGAAACGGUAGCUAAUACCGCAUACUAUCGGAUGUGCCCAGAUGGGUUUAACUAGUAGGUGGGGUAACGGCUCAUCUAGGCGACGAUCCCUAGCUGGGCUGAGAGGAUGACCCGCGAAACUGGAACUGGAGCACGGUCAAGACUCCUACGGGGGGCAGCAUAGGGGAAUAUUGCACAAUGGGCGAAAGCCUGAUGCAGCCAUGCCGCGUGUAUGAAGAAGGCCUUCGGGUUGUAAAGUACUUGAAGCGAGGAGGCGUUACUCGCAGAAGAAGCAUCGGGUAACUCCGUGCCAGCAGCCGCGGUAAUUC
rnacentral:rRNA from 1 species